rnacentral:miRNA from 1 species
CAGCUGCCUAGCGAAGGGCAACG